ACCUCCCUACCUAGCUGACCUAAUUAAACCUUACGUAUGGUUAGGGCUCUGCGUUCUGAAGGUGCAGGACUACAUAGUGUCCCUAGGGUGAAUAAAAAGUCUGUGGGUCACAGAGCUUUCUCUUAUUGUGCCCCUGUUCUGUGGAAUGAUCUCCCUGCAU